AUUGAACGCUGGCGGCAGGCUUAACACAUGCAAGUCGAGCGGAGAUGAGGUGCUUGCACCUUAUCUUAGCGGCGGACGGGUGAGUAAUGCUUAGGAAUCUGCCUAUUAGUGGGGGACAACGUUCCGAAAGGAAUGCUAAUACCGCAUACGUCCUACGGGAGAAAGCAGGGGAUCUUCGGACCUUGCGCUACUAGAUGAGCCUAAGUCGGAUUACCUAGUUGGUGGGGUAAAGGCCUACCAAGGCGACGAUCUGUAGCGGGUCUGAGAGGAUGCUCCGCCACACUGGGACUGAGACACGGACCAGAGUCCUACGGGAGGCAGCAGUGGGGAAUAUUGGACAAUGGGGGUAACCCUGAUCCAGCCAUGCCGCGUGUGUGAAGAAGGCCUUAUGGUUGUAAAGCACUUUAAGCGAGGAGGAGGCUACUGAGACUAAUACUCUUGGAUAGUGGACGUUACUCGCAGAAUAAGCACCGGCUAACUCUGUGCCAGCCGCCGCAGUAAUAC
rnacentral:rRNA from 1 species